rnacentral:rRNA from 1 species
GGAAGGGGUGUAUUUAUUAGAUAAUCUGUGCUCCUUCUUCGAGCUCCUUGGUGAUUCAUAAUAACUUAACGAAUCGCAUGGCCUUGCGCCGGCGAUGGUUCAUUCAAAUUUCUGCCCUAUCAACUUUCGAUGGUAGGAUAGUGGCCUACCAUGGUGGCAACGGGUAACGGGGAAUUAGGGUUCGAUUCCGGAGAGGGAGCCUGAGAAACGGCUACCACAUCCAAGGAAGGCAGCAGGCGCGCAAAUUACCCAAUCCCGACACGGGGAGGUAGUGACAAUAAAUACUGAUACGGGGCUCUUUUGGGUCUCGUAAUUGGAAUGAGUACAAUCUAAAUCCCUUAACGAGGAACAAUUGGAGGGCAAGUCUGGUGCCAGCAGCCGCGGUAAUUCCAGCUCCAAUAGCGUAUAUUAAAGUUGUUGCAGUUAAAAAGCUCGUAGUUGAACCUUGGGUCUGGCUGGCCGGUCCGCCUCACCGCGAGUACUGGUCCGGCUGGACCUUUCCUUCUGGGGAACCUCAUGGCCUUCACUGGCUGUGGGGGGAACCAGGGACUUUUACA